rnacentral:rRNA from 1 species
UGCCAGCCGCCGCGGUAAUACGUAGGGAGCGAGCGUUAUCCGGAAUUAUUGGGCGUAAAGCGCGCGUAGGCGGCUGAGUAAGUCGGAUGUGAAAGCCCUGGGCUUAACCUGGGAAUGGCAUUCGAUACUGCUUAGCUAGAGUAUGGUAGAGGGAAGUGGAAUUUCCGGUGUAGCGGUGAAAUGCGUAGAUAUCGGAAGGAACACCAGUGGCGAAGGCGACUUCCUGGGCCAAUACUGACGCUGAGGUGCGAAAGCGUGGGGAGCAAACAGGAUUAGAUA